UACGAAGGGGGCGAGCGUUGUUCGGAAUUACUGGGCGUAAAGGGCGCGCAGGCGGUUCUUCAAGUCAGAUGUGAAAGCCCCGGGCUCAACCUGGGAAUUGCAUUUGGGACUGGAGAACUAGAGUUCGGGAGAGGUGGGUGGAAUUCCCAGUGUAGAGGUGAAAUUCGUAGAUAUCGUAAGGAAGACCAGUGGCGAAGGCGGAUCUCUGGACAGUUACUGACACUGAGGCACGAAGGCCAGGGGAGCAAAGCGGG
rnacentral:rRNA from 1 species